UGAUCUGUAUGGUAGAUGGUGGUAUGGUUAUCUAUGACAUCAGCAAUCCACAGGACCCUGUGUUCCAGUCACAGACAUUUUAA
rnacentral:tRNA from 1 species